rnacentral:lncRNA from 1 species
UUGAGUUAUUGAAUAUACUGGUGACUAUAAAGGGCACCUUGAAGAGUUCAAGGGGCACAGUUCUAGCUGUGGAGUGAGCUUCCUCAAAAAGGAAGUCUUUCUUUAAGAAGAAGAAAAUGCCCGACAAAAAAGUAAAAGAAUGUAGCUAAGCCCAAGAAAUAGAUUCCUAAGAAGGUCGACGAUAAAGAAAAAUAUUUUUAUUGCAACAUCGAAGGCCACU